rnacentral:rRNA from 1 species
GAAUAUUGCGCAAUGGGCGGAAGCCUGACGCAGCGACGCCGCGUGAGCGAUGAAGGCCUUCGGGUCGUGAAGCUCUGUCCUUGGGGAAGAAGGCGAAAGCUUAACGGUACCCAAGCAGAAAGCCCCGGCCAACUACGUGCCAGCAGCCGGCGUAAUACGUAGGGGGCGAGCGUUGUCCGGAAUUACUGGGCGUAAAAGGUGCGUAGGCGGCCCUUUAAGUCAGAUGUGAAAGGCUGCGGCUUAACCGCAGAACUGCAUUUGAAACUGGAGGGCUUGAGUGUCGGAGAGGGUAGUGGAAUUCCCAGUGUAGCGGUGAAAUGCGUAGAUAUUGGGAGGAACACCAGUGGCGAAGGCGACUACCUGGACGAUAACUGACGCUGAGGCACGAAAGCUAGGGGAGCAAACA